rnacentral:rRNA from 1 species
CGCGACCUCAGGUCAGGCGGGACUACCCGCUG